CACUUAGCCAUUUUACCAAAACCUAAAAAUAGAAAAGAAAGGGAUCUGAGAGGAGUGGGGGAGGCGCUCUAUUAGGGUUUUGCGCGUCACCCCCCUCUAUGGAUGUCAACAGCAUAGUGGUGUGUGGAGGUAGAUUGGAGCUGUGGCCAAGGUGAUCAACCGGGUGGAGAAUAGGAGAGGAAACCUGUUAAAGAAAGAGAUGAAAGAAAGAAGAGAGUUGUCGCCGGAAAUCCCCUUCGACGACAAUGCAUGAUGGUUCGUCAUGGCUGCGCACGGUAAGGGUCCACAGAAGAAGCUAAAGGUCGACGUUGUCAUCACCGAAAAUCGCCUCUGACAGUAGCAUAUGGUGGUGCAUGACGACACUCACGGUGGCUUGGUGACUCGUCAUAGUGACCCAUAACAAGGGUACAAGGGAAAAUAAUAAGUGAGCAAUACCGCUACCAAAAAUUGCCUCCGACAGCGACGCAUGAUGGGGUUCAUGGGAACCACCGCCACAUUCCCCUACUGGUGCCAAGUUCAUGCUUUUGGAAGCAUAUAUAGAAGAAGCGUGAUCUUAAGGACAUGUUGGUGGCUAUGUCAGAGAAGCUCAACAAAGCUUGUUGGAGGAGAUUCAAGAGCAACAAUAAAGUGUAGUAUGGCAGAGAUUUUGGGUACAGAGCAAGAUAUUGUUUCCUUCUUUCCUUGUCUUUUUCUGUUUCUUAUUCUUUUUUAUUUAUGAUUAUUGUAUAUAUUUUUAUUUGAGUUUAAAUCUGGUUUGUAAAUUAUUUUUAUUCUUUAAUCGUUGAUUUAGACAUUUUGAGAAAGAAAUUAGUAGAAAAAUUAAUGGAUAAAAAUUGGUGUUUA